rnacentral:rRNA from 1 species
CUACGGGCGGCACCAGUAAGGAAUAUUGCGCAAUGGAGGCAACUCUGACGCAGCCAUGCCGCGUGCAGGAAGAAGGCCUUAUGGGUCGUAAACUGCUUUUAUUUAGGAAUAAACCCCCGAACGUGUUCGGGGCUGAAGGUACUAAACGAAUAAGCACCGGCUAACUCCGUGCCAGCAGCCGCGGUAAUACGGAGGGUGCAAGCGUUAUCCGGAUUUAUUGGGUUUAAAGGGUGCGCAGGCGGGCUAUUAAGUCAGUGGUGAAAUCCCGGGGCUCAACUCCGGAACUGCCAUUGAUACUGAUAGUCUUGAGUUUGGUUGAAGUGGGCGGAAUGUAGCAUGUAGCGGUGAAAUGCAUAGAUAUGCUACAGAACACCAAUCGCGAAGGCAGCUCACUAAGCCAAAACUGACGCUCAUGCACGAAAGCGUGGGGAUCAAACAGGAUUAGAUACCCUUGUAGUC